UACGAAGGGUGCAAGCGCUACUCGGAAUUACUGGGCGUAAAGCGUGCGUAGGUGGUUUGUUAAGUCUGUUGUGAAAGCCCCGGGCUCAACCUGGGAAUGGCAAUGGAUACUGGCAGGCUAGAGUGCGGUAGAGGGUAGUGGAAUUCCCGGUGUAGCGGUGAAAUGCGUAGAGAUCGGGAGGAACACCAGUGGCGAAGGCGGCUACCUGGACCAGCACUGACACUGAGGCACGAAAGCGUGGGGAGCAAACAGG
rnacentral:rRNA from 1 species